rnacentral:rRNA from 1 species
UACGAGGGGGGCAAGCGUUGUUCGGAAUUAUUGGGCGUAAAGGGUGCGUAGGCGGUUUGGUAAGUCUUAUGUGAAAUCUACAGGCUCAACUUGUAGUCUGCAUGAGAAACUGCCGGGCUUGAGUAUGGGAGAGGUGAGUGGAAUUCCUGGUGUAGCGGUGAAAUGCGUAGAUAUCAGGAGGAACACCUGUGGCGAAAGCGGCUCACUGGACCAUAACUGACGCUGAUGCACGAAAGCUAGGGAAGCAAACAGG